AGAGUUUGAUUCUGGCUCAGAACGAACGCUGGCGGCAUGCCUAACACAUGCAAGUCGAACGGGUGCCUUCGGGUACUAGUGGCGCACGGGUGCGUAACGCGUGGGAAUCUGCCCCUUGGUUCGGAAUAACAGCUAGAAAUGGCUGCUAAUACCGGAUGACGACGUAAGUCCAAAGAUUUAUCGCCGAGGGAUGAGCCCGCGUAAGAUUAGCUAGUUGGUGUGGUAAAGGCGCACCAAGGCGACGAUCUUUAGCUGGUCUGAGAGGAUGAUCAGCCACACUGGGACUGAGACACGGCCCAGACUCCUACGGGAGGCAGCAGUGGGGAAUAUUGGACAAUGGGCGCAAGCCUGAUCCAGCAAUGCCGCGUGAGUGAUGAAGGCCUUAGGGUUGUAAAGCUCUUUUACCCGGGAUGAUAAUGACAGUACCGGGAGAAUAAGCUCCGGCUAACUCCGUGCCAGCAGCCGCGGUAAUA
rnacentral:rRNA from 1 species